GACGAACGCUGGCGGCGUGCUUAACACAUGCAAGUCGAACGGAAAGGCCCUGCUUUUGUGGGGUGCUCGAGUGGCGAACGGGUGAGUAACACGUGAGUAACCUGCCCUUGACUUUGGGAUAACUUCAGGAAACUGGGGCUAAUACCGGAUAGGAGCUCCUGCUGCAUGGUGGGGGUUGGAAAGUUUCGGCGGUUGGGGAUGGACUCGCGGCUUAUCAGCUUGUUGGUGGGGUAGUGGCUUACCAAGGCUUUGACGGGUAGCCGGCCUGAGAGGGUGACCGGCCAGAUUGGGAGUGAUGUCCGGCCCGGACUCCGACGGGGGGGAGAAGGGGGAAAUUUUGAAAAGGGGGGGGAAGCCUGAGGCAGCACCGCCGGGUGGGGGAGGGCGGCUUUCGGGUUGAAAACCGUUUUCGCCGGGGAAGAAGGGGGGGUGACGGUAAGGGGUAAAGAAGCGCCGGCUACCUAGGUG
rnacentral:rRNA from 1 species